AGGGAUUGCCCAGUAACGGCGAGUGAAGCGGCAACAGCUCAAAUUUGAAAUCUGGCCCCCGCGGGUCCGAGUUGUAAUUUGCAGAGGAUGCUUUUGGUGCGGCGCCUUCCGAGUUCCCUGGAACGGGACGCCAUAGAGGGUGAGAGCCCCGUCCGGUCGGAUGCCUAGCCUCUGUAAAGCUCCUUCGACGAGUCGAGUAGUUUGGGAAUGCUGCUCAAAAUGGGAGGUAUAUGUCUUCUAAAGCUAAAUACCGGCCAGAGACCGAUAGCGCACAAGUAGAGUGAUCGAAAGAUGAAAAGCACUUUGAAAAGAGGGUUAAAUAGUACGUGAAAUUGUUGAAAGGGAAGCGCUCAUGACCAGACUUGGGCGUGGUGAAUCACCCGGCGUUCUCGCCGGUGCACUUUGCCUGUCCAGGCCAGCAUCAGCUCGCCUCGGGGGAUAAAGGCUUCGGGAAUGUGGCUCCCUCGGGAGUGUUAUAGACCGUUGCGCAAUACCCUGGGGUGGGCUGAGUACGCGCUCCGCAAGGAUGCUGGCGUAA
rnacentral:rRNA from 1 species